CUGCCUCAGCUCCAAGAACUUCACUUGUGACUCCUACCAAGUCGUAAUGCAGGCUCUCAGUCAUCAAGCGUCCCUCAUGGAGGUGGGGCAAAAACGGCUCGUCUUCACUGACUUCGUCCGUCCCUUCCUCUCCAGAGAUGACCUAACAGAUCCUGCCUGUCUGUCCAAAACUGCAAGCAGCGCUGACUGGCUCGAGAAGAACUUUGGCA